GCAGUGGUUGUUCAAUGGUAGAAUUCUUACCUUCCAUGCAGGAGACUCAGGUUCAAUUCCCGGCCAAUGAG
rnacentral:tRNA from 1 species